UACGGUGGGAGCAAGCGUUGUUCGGAUUUACUGGGCGUAAAGGGCGCGUAGGCGGCAAUUCAAGUCAUCUGUGAAAUCUCCGAGCUUAACUCGGAACGGUCAGAUGAUACUGCUUUGCUAGAGUACAGAAGGGGCAAUCGGAAUUCUUGGUGUAGCGGUGAAAUGCGUAGAUAUGCGGAGGAACACCGAUGGCGAAGGCAAUCCCCUGGGCCUGCACUGACGCUCAUGCACGAAAGCGUGGGGAGCAAACAGG
rnacentral:rRNA from 1 species